AACUUUGCACAGUGGCAGUAUCACAGCCAGUGAGGUUUAUCCAAGGACUAGUUAUUGCUAAUUGAAAACUUUUCCCCGUGCCCCACCAUGAUGACUUGAAAUAUAGUCAACAUUGGCAAUUUUUGACAGUCUCUAUGGAGA
ensembl:snRNA U4 U4 spliceosomal RNA